GUGUCCGUGCUAGCCAAUCAAUGAAUGCUACUAUAGACGAAUAUUUGAAUUUUAUAUGUUUGUGUAUAGAAAGAAUCAUCAGAAAACUAAAAAACUUCAUAUUUAUAUAUAACUAGUUUUUAUUUUAAAAUCUGUGAAUUAUCCGCGAAUAUCAUGAGAUCUAGCAUACAUUGUCUUAACCGGUUAUACGCUAGAGAGCUCCCUCGUACAAUAGUUUCCCAAUUUUAAAUCCGUCAAUGAGAAACAACUAUCAUCCAGACUCGAACUUGAGACCAUGAGGGGAAAAUUCAUCCGGGUCCAUCAUAGGUCGAACUUAAAUACACACCGUAAUUUUGAGCUCGGGGCAAAAUCGUAAUUCUUCAGGACUAAAGACUAAUGAACAAGUGUUAAACACGAAAAUAAAUUAAAUCGAGUGUACCAAUUAAAACAUAUUUUUAUAGCUAGCAGACUUGCCUUGGUUGCAAAUAUUUGAAAAGCAUACUUUUAUAUAAAUUUACAAAUAAGUUGAAUAAUAAAUAUAUUGU
rnacentral:lncRNA from 1 species